rnacentral:lncRNA from 1 species
GCUUCAAGUAAACACGAACUUACAUAAAUCAAAAAUGUUACCCAUCAUAACCAAAACUUUAACCCCAUACUGUACGAACGAACCCAUGAUAGAACUGAAAGCAUAAUGACCAUCUGUUGUCGCCGACGGUGCAAUUGAAUUAAUUUAUUGCAAAGUUUGUGGUUACUAUUUACAAGAUUGAAAAAAUUAAGCAUUUUUUAAAAAUCGAUAAAUCCCAACUCUUUCGCUACCAGAAGAUAUGAUAUGAAUGCCAAUGACACAACUCUCUGUCUAAGUCACAACCAUGUAAAAGCUCUCACACAGACAAACAACCCCCCAUAAUUGAGAAUUAUAAGGGCAUACACCACAA